CCGACUCGAUGGACAUGAGUUUGAGCAAGCUCUGGGAGUUGGUGAUGGACAGGGAAGCCUGGCUGCUGCCUUUCAUGGGGUCGCAAAGAUUCGGACACGACUGAGCGACUUCUCUGAACCGGUAUGAAAGGGCGAGGGUUCUUUGUAACCUCUUAGUGAGUCGCCUGUGAUGUGUAGCACGUUCUGGUCCAACGCUCAUUCCAUAUAAAACUUCUUGCCCUCCCACUUUUUCGGAGGGGUUUUUCUGGGUUGGCAGAUCUUGUCUUUAAGUUUGUACUUCCCCAGCAGGUGUCUGGGCGCCCUCCAGGUUUUGGUCAAUGCGUGUGCAUCUUUUCCAGACAGAGGUGGCAGGAAGUCUCCCAGUCGGCCUGGGCCCCCUGGACCACUGGGGCCUCCUGGGGUCAGCCGUCCUGGAGGCAGGCACCUCUCUUGGAGGGGAUGGGGGCACCUCGCCCAAGGAAAGGGGGCGGAGUCUGAGGAUUCACAGCGACCGCAGCUGACCCUCGGCCGGCCUUGGGGCCCCGGAGAGCACCUGCCUGUGGAAUCGCAGAGACUGAGCGGUGAGAACGGCAACCUUGCAGCCUACGUUGGGGCGCUCGCUGGGGAGGGCGCUUUGCUCCAGCCUGAGCUCCGAGCCCGCAGCCCCGCCCUCAUCCGGAGCCGUCCCGGGCUGGCUCCACAGCGACGCCGUGUGGCCGAGAGAGGGAAUCGAGGCGGGAAUGCUGCUUCGCCGGCUCCGGAAAGCCAGACUGACCGCCGCCCUCUGUCCGCACAGCGUCAGCCUUUGGGACAAAAGGAUGAUAAGGCAACCGGGGGCUUGGUCAAUCGACUGGGGGAAAAUAGAAGUUAUCGUCUAACAGUUCCCCAACACCGACGAGUUAUAAUGCAGCAGGCAUCCCUGAGCCCUUCUUCAUCCCCAGUCCCCACCUGUAUGGGUCUGGGGUAGGGAAGGCAUCAGGGUGUUUGUUUCCCAUGGGAUGGGAGGGAGGUGCGAGGCGGAUUCAGGAUGGGGAGCACAUGUACACCCAUGGCUGAUUCUUGUCAAUGUGUGGCAAAAAUACUGCAGUAUUGUAGUGACAAUACUGUAAAGUAA
rnacentral:lncRNA from 1 species